GAAGGGGGCGAGCGUUGUUCGGAAUCACUGGGCAUAAAGGGCGUGUAGGCGGCCCGGUAACUCGAUGGUGAAAUCCCACCGCUCAACGGUGGAACUGCCAUCGAAAAUGCCAGGCUCGAGAACGGUAGGGGAGAGUGGAACUCUUAGUGGAGCGGUGAAAUGCGUAGAUAUUAAGGGGAACGCCGGUGGCGAAAGCGACUCUCUGGACCGUUUUCUGACGCUGAGGCGCGAAAGCCAGGGGAGCAAAAAGGAUUAGAUACCCUUGUAGUCCUGGCUGUAAAACGAUGAGCACUUAGUAGCGGGGAUCCCGACGUCUUCGCUGCUGGAGCUAAUGUGGUAAGUGCUCCGCCUGGGGGAGUACGGUCGCAAGGCUG
rnacentral:rRNA from 1 species